UACGUAGGGGGCAAGCGUUGUCCGGAUUUACUGGGCGUAAAGAGCGCGUAGGCGGAAGCUUAAGUGUGGCCUGAAAGCCCCCGGCUCGAACCGGGGAAGGUGGCUGCAAACUGGGCUUCUUGAGGGGAUAGGGGAAAGUGGAAGUUCCGGGUGUAGCGGUGAAAUUCGUAGAUAUCGGGAGGAACACCGGUGGCGAAGGCGGCGAUCGUGGGUCGAUACUGACGCUGAGGUGCGAAAGCGUGGGGAGCAAACAGG
rnacentral:rRNA from 1 species